CAUGUCGGCGUGGGGCACAGCAGCCGCCGAGGGAGCCGAGCCGGCGGAUGUGGAGGCUGCCGAGCGGCGGUGCUCGCGUGAAGGAGGAAUAUGAUGAUGCGUGGAGUGGCGUGGGGUAACAACCAUCUCCAUCGAGUGGCGGUGCUCGCGUGAAGGAUGAGUUCGUGUUAGUCCCCCUAUCCCGAUCUGGAUUUUAUGGAUCUUUCAAAAAAAGUUCUUGUUAGGGAUUUGAGUUUUUUCCAUUUAACAUGCUCUCAUGUAGGGUAGUAGCACUCUCUCGGCUGUGGCUGCACGUUCAACUGGCCAGUCAAGGAGCUCCAGCAAGCAGGUCCGCCUACUCUCCUUUCCCCUGAGCUCCUGCAACUACACAAAUCAUCUUCCUGGUAUUUUCUCACUUUUGAUUCACAGACUAUGUAUUGUAGUUAGUUCUGGUGAUUAUCAGUUGAUCUAAGACCACUGUACGUGCAUAUCUCAGACUUGAGAAGAAUGCACAUAGCCUUGCUGAGAACAUAAUAUUGUUUCGAUGAUUAUCUUGUUUGUGCGCUUGUUUUGAUAAAACACAGGGGUUAUAGAGGAAUUGAAACAUGUUACAUUGAAAUCAGAGAGCAUGUCGUUGUUGCUUAAUUCCGUUAAUCUUGGCUGUCACUGUAUACCUUGAGAUUCAGGUAGAAGCAAUAGAAUCCAGGAAAAAAAUACCUACCUGCAUGUGUUCCUUAGAGAGUUUGUUUUCUUCAUACCUCACCAUUCUUAAUAUAUAUGGUCAUCUAUGUUCUGGAUAUCACACUCGACGGCCUCCCUUCAUGGCACAAAACUGAAACUACGCCAUGAAUAUAUUUAUUCAGUGAAAUAGCUGAUUCCAAUCAUUCAUCAACUAGCUUUGUUUUAAUCACAGCAAUAAGUCAUGAUAUCUUGAAAUUGCCUGAUUGGUGAUUAUACAUUUUAUAUGAUGUUUUUCACCUGCAAGCUCUGCACUUCUUUCCUUUCAACUUUAUCUCUCUUGCUUUAUUUCAUGAAUAUAUUCCUCUUCUCAUUCCAUCAUUCAGUCUGUUUGCAACAAAAUCCUGAUUCAUAGUCUGUUUUUUUUUAAUGCUUGGCACAUCCUAAACAAAAUCCUGAUUAAACGAUAGGCUUGGCAUAUCUUUUUUUAUCACUAUGGUUGCUUUUAUCCGCAACUGAUUUCUCUGAUUCCUUUCCCAUGCUGUAAUGCAAUUGUUUUGGGCAAUUCCCCAAGGCCUUAUGUUUUAUGUUAUUGGGAACUGCAGGACACCCAGCGAGUGUUUAGGAUCCCACACACGACAGUUCUUGGCAUGCUCCUGGCACACCUUGGACUAUCACCGGCUCAGUAUGAACGCGUUGUUCAUGAGGACGGCAAGACCCAUGUUGUAAAUUGUCUGUAAGCGACGUGUUGCCGUAUCUUCUAUGCCUAAAACGUCUGUAAGCGACGUGUUGUCGUAUCUUCUAUGCCUAAACGCGUCUAUGUUAUGCCUAAAACUUAAAGUUAUCUAUGCAUAGUUGUAAAUUGUCUUUAAGCGACGUGUUGUCGUAUCUUCUAUGCCUAAGAUAUUUGGUGCUAACCUAUCGUGAAACAUGAUUUCUAUGUUCAUGCAUUGUUAAGUAGCUUCUUAU
rnacentral:lncRNA from 1 species